AGGCUACAGCUUCUCUCUCAGCCAUUCCUUGGUCUGUGGCCCAGUGAAGUGUUGGUUCGUGAGAUUACUGAGGUGCAAAGAGGGGGUUUCAGUGGAGCUUUGAGAGCUACCCAGCCACUGGAAAAUUGGAGUUCUUGUACUAUUUUAAGUCAAUGUAUUCUAAUGAAAAGGGGAGGGGGGCUUUUUUAGACAGGUGAUUUCUCAUAAUACCUUUACAGUGGUACCUCAGGUUACAUACGCUUCAGGUUACAGAUUCCGCUAACCCAAAAAUAGUGCUUCAGGUUAAGAGCAUUGCUUCAGGAUGAGAACAGAAAUCGUGCUCCGGCAGUGCAGCGGCAGCAGGAGGCCCCAUUAGCUAAAGUGGUGCUUCAGGUUAAGAACAGUUUCAGGUUAAGAAUGGACCUCCAGAACGAAUUAAGUACUUAACCUGAGCUACCACUGUAUUCCUUUUUUAUUGUUUAUUUCCUACAAGUUCCCAUCUGCUUUUUUCUUUACCUUUCCUAGCUGACAGCAGAAAGGACAUGGCCCUGCUAAGAAAUGACAAAACUGGUUGACUGUAUGUUUCCUGAAUCCUGGGGUUGUUGUUUUUUAAGAGGAAGAUACUAUUGUCUCUGCAGAACCUCAGCAGGAGGUGAAAAUUAAGUUUACUGAUAACCUAGGAUUAGUGUGCUGAUCUUUACAUUAAGUAUUAAGAGCUCAGAAUAUUUACCAAUGCCUUCCUGGACUCGUUUGAGAUAAGGAAUUGUACCAGGGUGAAAACAGUUCAUUGAGGGGCGUAUUUUAUAUCAAGUUAUGCCAACUUGACUGAUCUGCAGUAAUAAACUACAGGAAAAAAAUCAGAUUGGCAUAUGCCAUUACAGGGGGCUACUAAUAAGUACUAGGAAAAAGUGCAGGCAUCAAGGACCAUCUUAAAAUAAACCUUCUUCUCCUCCCUUACAUGAAAGGAAAUGCCAUUUGGAAGAUGAUGCCUGUUCCAGCAUACAUAUUAGGACCUGGGAGACCAGGGUUUACCACUGAGCCAUGGAGCUCACUGGGUUAGCUUAGCCAGGCAUUGUCUCUUAGCCAGGCAUUGUGUCCUGGUGAGCUCCGACUGGAAAAAAAACCCUAGUUGUGAGAAUAAAAAUGGAGGGGGAGUUGUGGAGAGAACUAUGUACACCAGUUUGAGCUCCUUGGAGGAAAGGGGGCAUAGAAAGGUAGCAAACAAACAAACAAACAAAAAACUAAACACAAAGGAUGCUUUUUGCUUCAGGACUAUUGUUUUGGUAUGUGCCAAUAUAUGCAAAUAUAACUAACCGAGUCACUGACUUGGCAUGUUUAUCUAGAAGUCCCAUUGGGUUAAGUCAUGCCACUUACUCCCAAGGAACUGUGCACAUAUAAUUUCACUGUGAACUCAUACACUUGAUUGACUAAGAGUUCUUUAAUCAAGUGAUAGCUCUAAGCAUCUGUUGUUGCUGUUGUUUUGUACUGGCUCGUGUUGUCCCCCCACCCCCCAAUGCAGCUUUGAGGAGUAAUGGACUGACAGCAGGCUCAGAAGAAUAAUGAACUCUCCCAAGUUCAAAAUGGGUUGAGGAUGGCUUCCAGAGUUCAUUUAUUACAGAAGCCUCUGGCAGUAGGGGAGCUCCAAUGGCACAAAGGUGGAGAGACCAAGCUUCCCAUGCAGAAAGUGCCUGGCCAGAAUCUGAGUUUAAGAGUCUCGGGAAGCAGAUUCAAACUAUCUUUUGGGGGGAAAAGCAGGCAAGCAAACUUCAAGAUUUGCAUUUGGACAACCUUGGAGAAGUGCUACUAACCAUUCCUUCAUUGCAGGGGGUUGGACUAGAUGACCCUCAGGUCCCUUUCAACUCUACAAUUCUAUGAUUCCAGGAGUAACAAGUACGAGUUACAAUGGUCAGACCCCAUAAGAAGGCAGCUUCCUAUGUUCGCAGUUAACUCACCUGGUUCAGGAAGAAAGUCACGACAGGAAUAAACCCUGACUGUCAAUAACUUUGAGGCACCAUUUGUUUUUUUUAAAAAAGAAGAAGAACAAAACAGAUAUGCAUUAUGCAAAAUGAAACCAAACAAUUCAGGGGCAAUGAUAUGCCAGCCAAAUAAAAGCUCAAAUAGGUCAAUUCUUCUAGAAAUUGACUUGAGUAUUCAGAUCAUUUGAGGUGGAACAGAUAAUGCUGCCCCACAUGCCACCUUUCUCCUUCAG